ACGGGUGAGUAACGCGUAGGUAACCUGCCCCUGUGUUCGGGAUAACAGUGCGAAAGCGCUGCUAAUACCGGAUGUGGCCAAGAGAUGGUGGUUUCUUGGUCAAAGUCGGCCUCUCAAAGAAGCUGACGCGCGGGGAUGGGCCUGCGUCCUAUCAGCUAGUUGGUAGGGUAACGGCCUACCAAGGCUUCGACGGGUAGCUGGUCUGAGAGGAUGAUCAGCCACACUGGCACUGAAACACGGGCCAGACUCCUACGGGAGGCAGCAGUGAGGAAUUUUGCGCAAUGGCCGCAAGGCUGACGCAGCAACGCCGCGUGGGUGAAGAAGGCCUUCGGGUCGUAAAGCCCUGUCAGGUGGGAAGAAUGUCCCAGGGAUGAAUAAGCUUUGGGAGUGACGGUACCACCAGAGGAAGCACCGGCUAACUCCGUGCCAGCAGCCGCGGUAAUACGGAGGGUGCAAGCGUUAUUCGGAAUUACUGGGCGUAAAGCGCGUGCAGGCGGGCAUGCAAGUCUGAUGUGAAAGCCCUGGGCUCAACCUGGGAAGUGCAUUGGAAACUGCAUGUCUUGAGUGUUGGAGAGGAAGG
rnacentral:rRNA from 1 species